rnacentral:tRNA from 1 species
AGCGGGGUGGGGAAGCCAGACUACUUGGGCAAAGUUAUCCCGGCGGGCUCAUAACCCGCAAAUCAGUAGUUCAAAUCUACUCCCCGCUA